UACGAGGGGGGCGAGCGUUGUUCGGAAUUAUUGGGCGUAAAGGGCGCGUAGGCGGUGCGGUAAGUCAGACGUGAAAUCCCUCGGCUUAACCGGGGAACUGCGUCUGAUACUGGAUGGCUUGAGUUCGGGAGAGGGAUGCGGAAUUCCAGGUGUAGCGGUGAAAUGCGUAGAUAUCUGGAGGAACACCGGUGGCGAAGGCGGCAUCCUGGACCGACACUGACGCUGAGGAGCGAAAGCGUGGGGAGCGAACAGG
rnacentral:rRNA from 1 species